UACGUAGGGUGCAAGCGUUAAUCGGAAUUACUGGACGUAAAGCGUGCGCAGGCGGCUUUGCAAGACAGAUGUGAAAUCCCCGGGCUUAACCUGGGAACUGCAUUUGUGACUGCAUGGCUGGAGUGCGGCAGAGGGGGAUGGAAUUCCGCGUGUAGCAGUGAAAUGCGUAGAUAUGCGGAGGAACACCGAUGGCGAAGGCAAUCCCCUGGGCCUGCACUGACGCUCAUGCACGAAAGCGUGGGGAGCAAACAGG
rnacentral:rRNA from 1 species